AUGCAUGUGCUUGCUACUCCUACUUGCAAUUAUUAUGAGGGAGGGACUACAUCUCCACCUCUAUAUGUUUCCAACACAAUAAAAUUGCAAGAAACUCCUUAUGCUAUGUACCGGCCUUUACUUUGUGUGCAUGAAUUUUUCUUUUACAAUAUGCCGAUGCAAAGGAAGAGAGUUAGACUUCAGUGUUGCAUGAUAUAUGUUGCUUUUUGCUCAAUACCAAAAUACAAAUCAUUGUUAAUUCAAAUUGGCUUUGAUAUACACCUCGGGAUCCGGGUGGAUCAAUUACUUGAGCACUUUAUGCCAGGCUUAAUGGCUUUAAAGAAAGCGCUGCCAGGGAGACAACCCGGAAGUUUUAGAGAGUCAACUACUUUUGAUGUGUGCUUUUAUAAAGUUUAA
rnacentral:rRNA from 1 species